UCGGGAAUUUUGGGCGAUGGGCGAAAGCCUGACCCAGCAACGCCGCGUGAAGGAUGAAGUAUUUCGGUAUGUAAACUUCGUAAGAAUAGGAAGAAUAAAUGACGGUACUAUUUGUAAGGUCCGGCUAACUACGUGCCAGCAGCCGCGGUAAUACGUAGGGACCAAGCGUUGUUCGGAUUUACUGGGCGUAAAGGGCGCGUAGGCGGUGUGUCAAGUCAGUUGUGAAAUCUCCGAGCUUAACUCGGAACGGUCAACUGAUACUGUCACACUAGAGUACAGAAGGGGCAAUCGGAAUUCUUGGUGUAGCGGUGAAAUGCGUAGAUAUCAAGAGGAACACCUGAGGCGAAGGCGGGUUGCUGGGCUGAUACUGACGCUGAGGCGCGAAAGCUAGGGUAGCAAACGGGAUUAGAUACCCCAGUAGUCCCUGAGCGGGCUGGCAAGGCGCAU
rnacentral:rRNA from 1 species